rnacentral:rRNA from 1 species
GAGUUUGAUCCUGGCUCAGAGUGAACGCUGGCGGCAGGCCUAACACAUGCAAGUCGAACGGCAGCGCAGUCCCGCAAGGGAUGGGCGGCGAGUGGCGGACGGGUGAGGAAUACAUCGGAAUCUACCUUGUCGUGGGGGAUAACGUAGGGAAACUUACGCUAAUACCGCAUACGACCUACGGGUGAAAGCGGCGGACCGCAAGGCGUCGCGCGAUUGGAUGAGCCGAUGUCCGAUUAGCUAGUUGGCGGGGUAAGAGCCCACCAAGGCGACGAUCGGUAGCUGGUCUGAGAGGAUGAUCAGCCACACUGGAACUGAGACACGGUCCAGACUCCUACGGGAGGCAGCAGUGGGGAAUAUUGGACAAUGGGCGCAAGCCUGAUCCAGCCAUGCCGCGUGUGUGAAGAAGGCC